UAAAGGCAUAACAAGACUGAGAAAAUGACUUGCCAUGUCUUCUGUAAAGCUGAGAUCUUGGUGGUAGGCAGAUGAUCAAGAAUCAACAGUGAAAAAAAAUCAGUGUUGACCGUUUCUGGAGGUGAACAUGGCAGAGAAUCAAGAAAAAAGCAGCAGGCCACAGACUUUGCCCAGUAUAAUGGCUGUGUUAGGAAAUAAUGCGACACAAGAAUGACCAACUAAUGAAGUGAGAUGUGAAGUCACUGCGGUUUCAAGACAAAUAUAUCACUUCCUAAUAAUUCAGAAUAUGUUUGAAUAGAGAAUAUGUGAAUAUAUGCCUAAGAUUUUACUGACAGUUCUUGCAUAUUUUUAAAAAUGUCUCUAGGUUUCAUGCAUUUCACACACACACACACACACACACACACACACACACAUACACACACACACACACACACCUUAGUAGGCAUGACUAAAUAGAGCACAUGGGCAAUAUGAGUUUUAAAACAAGUCUUAUUUAUAGACUCAUGAAACUGGCUCUUAUAGAAGUAGUCAUGAGAUCCAGCUUUCUCCCUACUGGCUAGUAGCAUAGUAGCAUACAGGAUGCUAGAUAGUGGUGGCUGUCAAUAGUCUUAUCCAGCUGUGAACCCAUUGAGCUCCAGAUGAUAAGACCUACUCCACUGGAGGAAACUCAUAACUGAUGCUAUAAAUAUGCCAAAGAACCCAUAGAUUUAGAUUUUAUAGCCCCUGGACCAGACAUACUACUAUAUUCUACAAAAUGGACAUAAUCCACAUGCAUCAUAGAAAUAGCACCUCAUACUUCUGGGAAUUUU
rnacentral:lncRNA from 1 species